UACAGAGGUCCCAAGCGUUGUUCGGAUUCAUUGGGCGUAAAGGGUGCGUAGGCGGCGCGGUAAGUCGGGUGUGAAAUCUCGGAGCUUAACUCCGAAACUGCAUUCGAUACUGCCGUGCUUGAGGACUGGAGAGGAGACUGGAAUUUAUGGUGUAGCGGUGAAAUGCGUAGAUAUCGUAAGGAAGACCAGUGGCGAAGGCGGGUCUCUGGACAGUUCCUGACGCUGAGGCACGAAGGCCAGGGGAGCAAACGGG
rnacentral:rRNA from 1 species